rfam:Myotis davidii contig209539, whole genome shotgun sequence.
GCUGCUUUGGCUCAGUGGAUAGAGCGUCAGCUUGCAGACUGAAGGGUUCUGGGUUCGAUUCCAGUCAAGAGCA